AAAAAAAAAAAAAAGGAAAGGAAAUUUGGUUGCACAGAUACUGAAAUUAGUGGCAGUGGGACUAAUGCUGAUAGCAGUGGUAGCAUGAUGAAAGUGAUAAGGGAUGGUGGAGGUGGUGGUAAGGUUGUGGAUGCGAAAAUAAUGGCAGUGGUGGUGACAACAGCGAUUGUGACAACAGCAGCAAGAAUGCUGAUGGUAUUAAUAAAUGAAAUUCACAAAUGUGUACUACUAUUAGAAUUUCAUAGUAGUAAUGGUGAUGCUGCUAAUGUUAGGUUGAAAAAAAUCAGUUUAAAAGAUGAAACUGAUUUGUGUGUCAAACUCACUUAUUGUGAAGUUGUGAACAAAUUUAUUACAAUGGAACUUCAGCAUUGGGAUUGAACCAUGUCAUCAAUGCACCCAUGACUAAAUUUCCUCAUGAUGGAGCUUUUGUAGUUCAAAGUAGUAAUGCAAUUGUUUUGGCGUCGAUUUAUUUAGUAGUAUAUUUUGGAAGCUGAAUGGUUCUCUUUGAACUCUUUAUUUUGAGGGGGGAAGCAUACCCAAUUUAAUUGCAAGGUAGAAUAGCAAUGCUGCCAAUGCUUUUGUAUGUAUACUCUGGUAUGUUUAUUUGAUUAUGCAGUUGGGUUAUCAGGGAACUCUGAAGGUUUG
rnacentral:misc_RNA from 1 species